rnacentral:lncRNA from 1 species
CUCAGCUUGCUGACAGCCUGUUGUUGGACCUUGUGAUCAUGAGACAGUGUGCAAUCUGAUCCCCAGAGAAUUCUAUCGGGGCAUGCUUCAACUACUCAGCAAGUGGACAUCUUUUACAUGAAGAUUUCUGCUCCUGAGAGAAGAUAUCUGUCUCCUUGGGCUGCACAGCCAUCCUCUUAUGUGUGAACUGGGCCACAAUCCUCUUAAGACAAUCUCACAUGGAAGUCUUAUUGGGACUCUCAUUUUGGGCAAUGCUUGUCUCUGAUGUCAUCUAAACAACUUACCAAAACCUCAGGUAACCCCCACUGUGCUCCAAAGAAGGUUCUCUUUUGUGGUGUCAAUCCUGACAGAUGCAACCUGAACAUCCCUUUGGGCCCCAGGGAGCACUGGUCUCUCCAUUUUGGAGAGAAUGUGAUUUUUCAUCUCUUGCUUGGGAGCAUGGAUAUUUCUGAAUAACCACAACCAUAAAUUCUAUUAAGAGAGACACCACACUUUAUUUCAUCUCUCUAUUAGAUAAGAUAAACUGAAUAGGAAGGAAUCAAACAUUAAAAAGCCCUCCCUACUCCUCA